GGUUUAAUUCGAUGCAACGCGAAAAACCUUACCACUUCUUGACAUGGAGGCUAGAUCCUUCUUAACAGAAGGGCGCAGUUCGGCUGGGCCUCGCACAGGUGCUGCAUGGCUGUCGUCAGCUCGUGUCGUGAGAUGUUGGGUUAAGUCCCGCAACGAGCGCAACCCUCAUCCUUAGUUACCAGCGGGUAAUGCCGGGCACUUUAAGGAAACUGCCAGUGAUAAACUGGAGGAAGGUGGGGAUGAUGUCAAGUCAGCACGGCCCUUAUGGGGUGGGCUACACACGUGCUACAAUGGCGACUACAAUAGGUUGCAACGUCGCAAGGCUGAGCUAAUCCGUAAAAGUCGUCUCAGUUCGGAUUGUCCUCUGUAACUCGAGGGCAUGAAGUCGGAAUCGCUAGUAAUCGUGGAUCAGCAUGCCACGGUGAAUACGA
rnacentral:rRNA from 1 species